rnacentral:rRNA from 1 species
CCUACGGGAGGCAGCAGUCGAGAAUCUUUCACAAUGGGGGCAACCCUGAUGGAGCGACGCCGCGUGGAGGAUAAGGUCUUCGGAUUGUAAACUCCUGUCAUGCGAGAACAAGGUUGCAGGGCUAACACCUUUGCAAAUUGAUGGUACCGCCAGAGGAAGAGACGGCUAACUCUGUGCCAGCAGCCGCGGUAAUACAGAGGUCUCAAGCGUUGUUCGGAAUCGCUGGGCGUAGAGGGGGUAUAUCAGGUGUGAAAGCCCGGGGCUCAACAUCGGAAUUGCAUCCGAUACUGCCAUGCUGGAGGACUGAAGAGGUGACUAGAAUUCUAGGUGUAGCAGUGAAAUGCGUAGAUAUCUAGAGGAAUACCAACGGCGAAGGCAGGUCACUGGGCAGUUACUGACACUGAGGCACGAAGGCCAGGGGAGCAAACGGGAUUAGAUACCCCGGUAGUC